rnacentral:ncRNA from 18 species
UCUUCCAAGGAGCGUUGCAGUCGGCCACAUGGCCGGUCAGGCUUGGAUGACCCCAACGACGCUCACCUGAU